GUGGGGAAUAUUAGGCAAUGGGCGAAAGCCUGACCUAGCAACGCCGCGUGAAGGAAGAAGGCCUUCGGGUUGUAAACUUCUUUUAUGAGGGACGAAGGACGUGACGGUACCUCAUGAAUAAGCCACGGCUAACUACGUGCCAGCAGCCGCGGUAAUACGUAGGUGGCGAGCGUUGUCCGGAUUUACUGGGUGUAAAGGGCGCGUAGGCGGACUGGCAAGUCAGAUGUGAAAUACAGGGGCUCAACCCCUGAACUGCAUUUGAAACUGUUGGUCUUGAGUAUCGGAGAGGCAAGUGGAAUUCCUAGUGUAGCGGUGAAAUGCGUAGAUAUUAGGAGGAACACCAGUGGCGAAAGCGGCUUUCUGGACGACAACUGACGCUGAGGCGCGAAAGCCAGGGGAGCAAACGGGAUUAGAUACCCGGGUAGUCC
rnacentral:rRNA from 1 species